GGAAGAAGAGUUCAAUAGAACAAUGGUCCCCAAAACCACCAACACACAUUUGGAAUUUGCUUGGGGUUCAAAUCCCUUUUAUUCUG
rnacentral:tRNA from 1 species